UAGGAUUCCCUUAGUAAUGGCGAACGAACAGGGAUGAGCUCGGCUUGGAAACUGGGGCCUUGGCCUUGGAUUGUAGCCUCUAGACAUAGCACCAACGGAGGCGCAGGUGUAAGCCUCUUGGAAAAGAGCAUCAACGUGGGUGAGAAUCCUGUGUUUCAUCUGCAGUCCACCGUGCACGGUGCAUGUUCUCAGAGUCGCGUUCCUCGGAAUUGGAGCGUAAAGUGGGUGGUAAAUUUCAUCUAAAGCUAAAUAUAGGCUUGAGACCGAUAGCAAACAAGUACCAUGAGGGAAAGAUGAAAAGGACUUUGAAAAGAGAGUUAAAAGUGCUUGAAAUUGCUGAAAGGGAAGCGAAUGGAACCAGUCCUCUGGCUGAGAUUGCUGCAUGCUUUUGUGUGUGGUGUUUCUCAGCUUGUGAGUCAACCUUUGUUCAUGCUUGAGGAUAGCCUCAGGUUCACGACGCUUCCCCGCGGGGUUGCUCCUGUGCUUGCAGGGACUCAGGCGUGUACUUUGUGUGACAAAAUGGUUCUCUUCGACCCGUCUUGAAACACGGACCAAGGAGUCUAGCACAUGUGCGAGUUCACAGGUGGCAAGCCUGCUUGCGCAAUGAAGGUGACAGCUGGGAUUUCUGCACCAGCAACCGACCGAUCAAUUGAGAGAAG
rnacentral:rRNA from 1 species